CGGGUGAGUAACGCGUGGGUAACCUGCCUUAUACAGGGGGAUAACAGUCAGAAAUGACUGCUAAUACCGCAUAAGCGCACGGGAUUGCAUGAUCCAGUGUGAAAAACUCCGGUGGUGUGAGAUGGACCCGCGUUGGAUUAGCCAGUUGGCAGGGUAACGGCCUACCAAAGCGACGAUCCAUAGCCGGCCUGAGAGGGUGGACGGCCACAUUGGGACUGAGACACGGCCCAGACUCCUACGGGAGGCAGCAUG
rnacentral:rRNA from 1 species